UGUGGGGCUUUGCUGUUAAACCGCCAUGGGCCGAGCAUCGGACAACACAGCAGGAAAGAAAUUUCCAGAAGAGUAGCACCUGAAGGAGAAAGCAUUCGUGCUGGCUGAUGCUAGCUGAAGGAAGCAUAGAGCACUGAGCAAGAAAAGCUUUUCUGCUGAUUUGAUUCUUCCAGCAAAGGUAGCAUUGCAUACCUUGCUGUAAACAAACAAA